CCCCGUACACAAAAAUGCACAUGCUGUGAGCUCGAUGAGUAGGGCGGGACACGUGGUAUCCUGUCUGAAUAUGGGGGGACCAUCCUCCAAGGCUAAAUACUCCUGACUGACCGAUAGUGAACCAGUACCGUGAGGGAAAGGCGAAAAGAACCCCGGCGAGGGGAGUGAAAAAGAACCUGAAACCGUGUACGUACAAGCAGUGGGAGCACGCUUAGGCGUGUGACUGCGUACCUUUUGUAUAAUGGGUCAGCGACUUAUAUUCUGUAGCAAGGUUAACCGAAUAGGGGAGCCGAAGGGAAACCGAGUCUUAACUGGGCGUUAAGUUGCAGGGUAUAGACCCGAAACCCGGUGAUCUAGCCAUGGGCAGGUUGAAGGUUGGGUAACACUAACUGGAGGACCGAACCGACUAAUGUUGAAAAAUUAGCGGAUGACUUGUGGCUGGGGGUGAAAGGCCAAUCAAACCGGGAGAUAGCUGGUUCUCCCCGAAAGCUAUUUAGGUAGCGCCUCGUGAAUUCAUCUCCGGGGGUAGAGCACUGUUUCGGCAAGGGGGUCAUCCCGACUUACCAACCCGAUGCAAACUGCGAAUACCGGAGAAUGUUAUCACGGGAGACACACGGCGGGUGCUAACGUCCGUCGUGAAGAGGGAAACAACCCAGACCGCCAGCUAAGGUCCCAAAGUCAUGGUUAAGUGGGAAACGAUGUGGGAAGGCCCAGACAGCCAGGAUGUUGGCUUAGAAGCAGCCAUCAUUUAAAGAAAGCGUAAUAGCUCACUGGUCGAGUCGGCCUGCGCGGAAGAUGUAACGGGGCUAAACCAUGCACCGAAGCUGCGGCAGCGACGCUUAUGCGUUGUUGGGUAGGGGAGCGUUCUGUAAGCCUGUGAAGGUGUGCUGUGAGGCAUGCUGGAGGUAUCAGAAGUGCGAAUGCUGACAUAAGUAACGAUAAAGCGGGUGAAAAGCCCGCUCGCCGGAAGACCAAGGGUUCCUGUCCAACGUUAAUCGGGGCAGGGUGAGUCGACCCCUAAGGCGAGGCCGAAAGGCGUAGUCGAUGGGAAACAGGUUAAUAUUCCUGUACUUGGUGUUACUGCGAAGGGGGGACGGAGAAGGCUAUGUUGGCCGGGCGACGGUUGUCCCGGUUUAAGCGUGUAGGCUGGUUUUCCAGGCAAAUCCGGAAAAUCAAGGCUGAGGCGUGAUGACGAGGCACUACGGUGCUGAAGCAACAAAUGCCCUGCUUCCAGGAAAAGCCUCUAAGCAUCAGGUAACAUCAAAUCGUACCCCAAACCGACACAGGUGGUCAGGUAGAGAAUACCAAGGCGCUUGAGAGAACUCGGGUGAAGGAACUAGGCAAAAUGGUGCCGUAACUUCGGGAGAAGGCACGCUGAUAUGUAGGUGAAGCGACUUGCUCGUGGAGCUGAAAUCAGUCGAAGAUACCAGCUGGCUGCAACUGUUUAUUAAAAACACAGCACUGUGCAAACACGAAAGUGGACGUAUACGGUGUGACGCCUGCCCGGUGCCGGAAGGUUAAUUGAUGGGGUCAGCGCAAGCGAAGCUCUUGAUCGAAGCCCCGGUAAACGGCGGCCGUAACUAUAACGGUCCUAAGGUAGCGAAAUUCCUUGUCGGGUAAGUUCCGACCUGCACGAAUGGCGUAAUGAUGGCCAGGCUGUCUCCACCCGAGACUCAGUGAAAUUGAACUCGCUGUGAAGAUGCAGUGUACCCGCGGCAAGACGGAAAGACCCCGUGAACCUUUACUAUAGCUUGACACUGAACAUUGAGCCUUGAUGUGUAGGAUAGGUGGGAGGCUUAGAAGUGUGGACGCCAGUCUGCAUGGAGCCGACCUUGAAAUACCACCCUU
rnacentral:rRNA from 1 species